CGUCGCGCAAAUGGGCCGGCCCAUUUACUUCGUCCCUGUGCGUUGCCUCUUCUCCUUCCCGAGCCCCGACGACGCCUUCGGCCUUCCCACUCGCCGCCGGCGCCUCCACCGGGGUUGGCGCCGCCGGCCACUCCUAUGCUCCCUCCAGUUUCGGAGACUCUGCUCAUCCCCUCACUGGAGUCGGCGCCUCCCUGGAAAAGUAGCUCCGCCAUGUGUUCGCCGCCUCCCCGAAACCCUAUCCCAGCCGCGCCCGAGCUCUGGUGGCCGUGACGGCGUCGCAUGCGCCCGCGGCGGCUCUCUCGUCGCCGCCGCCGUCGCCGGGACCUAGGGUUCGGGCAUCCGUCCUUGGCGCCCCGCGUCUCGAGGUCCCCGUCCUUCGGCAGGACGCCGGAGCUGCCCGCCGUCGUCUCUGUCGUUCAAGCAGAUGCAUUAGAAGCCAUUAAUUCUAGAUUCGGAAAACCAUCCAAGUCAUGAAGGAGUAUUUGGCAGCUUCUGAAGCUUAUUUCGCAAGAUUACUUUGUUGAAAAGUUUCCUCCCAUAUCCACUGAUUUUUAAUAAGAGGAGGUUAUAGGUCUUGAAAUAUUGAUACAAUCAGUUGGAAUUUGACUCUACAUGUACCGGCUAGAAUGGAGUAGGAUUAGUAAAUGAAGCAACUGCUCUCCUGUUUUGACCAAGGUAAAGAUCACUACUUCUUUGCCGUCAUGAUGAAAUGAGCUGGCAUGAUGGGUGGACUAGGCGACCUCAUGCUGAGAGCUCACUCGGGCUGAUUCUGAAAAUGAAAAAAGAUGACCUGAUGUAAUAGGCCUAGUUUCUUUUCUUCCUCAUCUGGUAGUUGCAAAAAGGGAUGUUUAAAAAGUUUGCUCAGGCCCUGUGUGGCUGAUCCUAUUUGCUAUAGUUUUUCUUCUGAUCCUGCUACUCUGGCUAGAUCCGAGAGCUUUGAAAUGUUGGCCUGGGUGCUUUGCCCCGGUUUUAAUAAAAAUGGGGUGGGGGGAAACCCCUUUUCAUAAAAAAAAUGCAAUGAAUAUUUCCAGGUUGCUUAUCCAUGUGUUGUGCAUAUACAAUCGAACUAGUAAGCAAAAAGGAUAAUGUUGGUUCUCUGAUUAUGAUAAUUUGGACAUGACUAAGGCUCUUACAGAGAUCUGGUUACGACUAUCCUAAAAAGUAUAUUUCUGUUAGUCGAAGAUUCUUAAAAAAAAUGCUGAGUUGAUAUAUGAUGCUGUUUUAGUUGAUACCUGUGCAAAUAUGGAAGCUAUAUAUGACGCUGUCUUGCUUGAUAGCUGUGCAAAUAUCCAUGUCAUUUUAUCAGUACAUGUUGAUACAGGCCUUGAGAGAUAAUUUUCACAAGGACAUCCUUCAUAUUCAACCGUCAUGAAUGAAGUGGUUAUCUUGGAUGCCAUUCAGUGAUGUAAUUUUGUGAUCUAGCGUUAUCCUUCAUGUAACAGGGUAACCAUCAUCUACGUUGUUGAUCAUUAAUCAAGAAGCAUUCAUUUGCAGAAGAAAAACUACCUGAUAUGCUUGAUCUAUGGUGGAGCGCAGAUGAUCUAGAGCACCUAUAUGAAGCAUAUAGAAGAUGUGAAAAAUAUCGGAAGAGGAAUCCCAAGUAUAGUUUUCAGCUUCUGGUUUCCUCUGAAUCCUAGAGAGAUAAAAUAUGUUUCCUGUUUUCUUUACCUGAUCACAUUUUAGAAUCUCAGCUAGGUAAUCUGAUUGGAAUUUCAGCAACUACAUGAUCAAUUUGUGUUGCAGUUAUCCUAUUUCCAGUUGUCUUAUGUUUUAAAGUGGGUGUCAUGCGUGGAGCUGCAUGGGUAUUUUUCCUGUAAUAUUAUUAUUAUGGUUUUUGGUACCCUGCCCUAACUACACUGAAAUCCAUGUUGGUUGAUGCAGCUGAAGAGGUGAUCCUUUCAAUCUCCUCAGCUUCCAUGCCCCGACCACACUGCAGUCCAUAAUGGAUGAGGAAGGAGGAGGUGCAUCGACAAUAGUUUGAAUCAGAUCGGGCAGCCACCAUAGUUGGUGAUGCUGUGGAGUGGAGGAACUAUGGCAUAUGGCACUACAGUUGACUUCCCCUACACUGUUGGAAACUGCAGUGGACUGAUGGCACCGUGGUUCACCUUCCAUAUAUGGCUGGAAUUUGUUGCCCAACACUUAUUACCAGGCAAGUAACUCACUAUUCUUUCCGUGCUCCAUUCUCCAGUCCAAAUUCAAUUAAAGCAAAUAAAUCGGAUUAAUCUUUAAUGCCUUAUCAAGAAAAAUGUGCAUUGUAGCUGUCCAUCACCAGGACUGGUCAUGAGUCUCAUGACCAGACUCUGCAUCAUACAGACCAGAGACGAACCAGCAGGGGUGGUCUGCAUCAUCUCUAGCGGCAGCAUGCAAUCCUUGAUCUAGGUGUUCGCUACAUGAACAAAUCAAAAACCGGCAAGUCGGUUCACCUUUUGGCUUAUAUAUUUAAUCAUUCCGCCUUCCAGCAUCAAGCAAAGUUAUUAGGCUAGGCGUCGAACAUUGAAUUGAUUGUCUCUUUAUGAGUUUCUAGCUCUUUGAAUUUCUAUUCAUGUUCCCACACGAGUAUAUAGUUAUUCCUGAUACAUAUGGGUUAAUCACUGUGCUUAAGGACAAGCGCGAAACCAAGUGUAUUUUUUAGAGGAGUAUUUAUGAGAUUGAAUUGCUGCAUGAUUUCUCUGUAUAAAUUUAUAUGCUCCUA